AAGAAAAUAGUUAAAUAAAUAACUAUAUUUUGUCAAAAUAUUAUUGCCUAAUAUUUUAUUAUAAGGCUUUUCUUA
rnacentral:tRNA from 1 species